GCGAGAGUGGCGGAACGGCAGACGCACCAGACUUAGGAUCUGGCGAGGCGACUCGUGCGGGUUCAAGUCCCGCCUCUCGCACCA
rnacentral:tRNA from 1 species